rnacentral:tRNA from 1 species
GGGCAGGUGGCAGAGCGGUCGAUUGCAGCGGUCUUGAAAACCGCCGGGCCCGAGAGGGCUCCGUGGGUUCGAACCCCACCCUGCCCGCCA